CGAAAGCCUGACGGAGCAACGCCGCGUGAGGGAGGAAGGUCUUUGGAUUGUAAACCUCUUUUCUCUAGGAAGAUGAUGACGGUACUAGAGGAAUCAGCAUCGGCUAACUCCGUGCCAGCAGCCGCGGUAAUACGGGGGAUGCAAGCGUUAUCCGGAAUUAUUGGGCGUAAAGCGUCCGUAGGCGGCCGAGCAAGUCUGCUGUUAAAGCGUGCAGCUCAACUGCAUAAGGGCAGUGGAAACUGUUUGGCUAGAGUGUGGUAGGGGUAGAGGGAAUUCCCGGUGUAGCGGUGAAAUGCGUAGAUAUCGGGAAGAACACCAGUGGCGAAAGCGCUCUACUGGGCCACAACUGACGCUGAUGGACGAAAGCUAGGGGAGCG
rnacentral:rRNA from 1 species